rnacentral:lncRNA from 1 species
GGGGCAAGUAUGGACACUACAUUCUAGCUUGAUAUAGCUCUGACUUUGGAUUGUGCUUAAAUAGUUGUCACAGCAUAGGUUUCUGACACAGAAUGAAUGUGGUCUAAUAAACUUCACAUUUUUUUUUGCUUUUGAGCAAUACACACUAUGCUGCUGAAUAUUACUCGCCUAAAAACAAAUAUUUGAAGACAUUUUCUUUUUAAUUUCUGAAAUGGGAAAAAUUGUACCCCC